rnacentral:rRNA from 1 species
CCCGCACAAGCGGUGGAGCAUGUGGUUUAAUUCGACGCAACGCGAAGAACCUUACCAGGGCUUGACAUCUACAGAAUCGGGAGGAAACUUUCGAGUGCCCUUCGGGGAACUGUAAGACAGGUGGUGCAUGGUUGUCGUCAGCUCGUGUCGUGAGAUGUUGGGUUAAGUCCCGCAACGAGCGCAACCCCUAUGUUUAGUUGCUAGCGAGUAAGGUCGAGCACUCUAGACAGACUGCCGGUGAUAAACCGGAGGAAGGCGGGGAUGACGUCAAGUCCUCAUGGCCCUUACAUCCCGGGCUACACACGUGCUACAAUGGCAGGUACAGAGGGCUGCGAAGCCGCGAGGUGGAGCGAAUCCCAGAAAACCUGUCUCAGUCCGGAUUGAAGUCUGCAACUCGACUUCAUGAAGGCGGAAUCGCUAGUAACCGCGAAUCAGCAGGUCGCGGUCGAAUACGUUCCCGGGCCUU